rnacentral:tRNA from 1 species
CUCGCCUUAUCUCAAUUGGAUAGAGAAACUGCCUUCUAAGCAGUAGGUUACAGGUUCGAAUCCUGUAGGCGAGA